rnacentral:rRNA from 1 species
CAAUAGCGUAUAUUUAAGUUGUUGCAGUUAAAAAGCUCGUAGUUGGAUUUCGGAUGGGACUUGCCGGUCCGUCGUUUCGAUGUGCACUGGCCAGUCCUAUCUUGUUGUCGGGGACUAGCUCCUGGGCUUCACUGUCCGGGACUAGGAGCUGACGAGGUUACUUUGAGUAAAUUAGAGUGUUCAAAGCAAGCCUACGCUCUGAAUACAUUAGCAUGGAAUAACACGAUAGGACUCUGGCUUAUCUUGUUGGUCUGUGAGACCAGAGUAAUGAUUAAGAGGGACAGUCGGGGGCAUUCGUAUUUCAUUGUCAGAGGUGAAAUUCUCGGAUUUAUGAAAGACGAACUUCUGCGAAAGCAUUUGUCAAGGAUGUUUNCAUUAA